UCAGUGUCGUCCUCCACAGUAUCACGAGC
rnacentral:sRNA from 1 species